rnacentral:rRNA from 1 species
CCUACGGGGUGCAGCAGUGAGGAAUAUUGGUCAAUGGGCGCGAGCCUGAACCAGCCAAGUCGCGUGAGGGAGGACGGCCCUACGGGUUGUAAACCUCUUUUGCCGGGGAGCAACGGGCGCCACGUGUGGCGCCACUGAGAGUACCCGGAGAAAAAGCAUCGGCUAACUCCGUGCCAGCAGCCGCGGUAAUACGGAGGAUGCGAGCGUUAUCCGGAUUUAUUGGGUUUAAAGGGUGCGUAGGCGGAGCGUUAAGUCAGGGGUCAAAUUGCGGGGCUCAACCCCUUCCCGCCAUUGAAACUGGCGUUCUUGAGUGGAAGAGAAGUAGGCGGAAUGCGUGGUGUAGCGGUGAAAUGCAUAGAUAUCACGCAGAACCCCGAUUGCGAAGGCAGCAUGCCGGCUUCCGACUGACGCUGAAGCACGAAAGCGUGGGGAUCGAACAGGAUUAGAUACCCCGGUAGUC